GGGGUUGUGGCGCAGCGGUAGAGCGCUCGUCUCGCAUGUGCGGGACCCUGAGUUCGAUCCUCAGCACCACG
rnacentral:tRNA from 1 species